CAGGGUAUAGCCUAGAAAAAGCGCUUCGCUUACACCGAAAUGACGUCUGUUAGACCCAGACUACCCUGAG
rnacentral:tRNA from 1 species